rnacentral:rRNA from 1 species
GACGAACGCUGGCGGCGUGCUUAACACAUGCAAGUCGAACGGAAAGGCCCUGCUUUUGUGGGGUGCUCGAGUGGCGAACGGGUGAGUAACACGUGAGUAACCUGCCCUUGACUUUGGGAUAACUUCAGGAAACUGGGGCUAAUACCGGAUAGGAGCUCCUGCUGCAUGGUGGGGGUUGGAAAGUUUCGGCGGUUGGGGAUGGACUCGCGGGUUAUCAGCUUGUUGGUGGGGUAGUGGCUUACCAAGGCAUUGACGGGUAGCCGGCCCGGGAGGGUGAACGGCCACAUUGGGACUGAGAGACGGACCAGACUCGUAUGGGAGGCAGCAGGGGGGAAUAUUGCACAAUGGGCGGAAGCCUGAGGCAGCAACGCUGCGUGCGGGAUGACGGCCUUCGGGUUGUAAACCGCUGUCGCCUGUGACGAAGCGUGAGUGACGGUAAUGGGUAAAGAAGCACCGGCUAACUACGUG